ACAAGCGCGUUGUUUGACAUAUCACACUGCAGCUAGAUUUUUCUGGAAAACACGGCGGCCAAUAAUAAAACUCGAGAGAACUCGUCGUCUUCUCCCCCUGCAUACUCCAAGUCCUAGAACUCAUCCAAUCCACUGGGAAUCUGAUGAAUCAACAAGAAAAUCAGGAACCAUUUUCUGGAUUAUUGGCAUGCACAAUUAGCUGAACCAAGGACCAAGCACACUUCUAGGAAAAUGGCGCUCCAAUAUAGAGCGGCACCGCUACACCGGCACAAGAUGAAAUCAGCACAAGAUGAGAUCUCUUAAGCAUCAUGAACAAAGAGCGAUCGAAGUGCUCACCUCCAUUGGCGGCCUUGAGUCUAUCAUCUUUUUGAAUGCAUAUGGUAAACAGCUUCUCAACAUUCCAAUUUUCUGGCUGAGUGCUCUAAUUGACAUGAAAAGUCGAAAAGUUCUUGGGAAUAGACUUGAACACCAGCUGAACAAUGAAGGGAUCUGGAAGAGGCAUGUUCACUGUCUUAAGCUUGUUUGCCAUGUGACUCAUUUCUAGAAUGUAUUCUCUUAUUCCACCGCCAGCAUAUUUGCAUAUUUCUUGGACAUAAGCUGCUCAGCCAAAGUGGGAGCGUAAGCCUUGGAACUGACUCUUCAUCAUUGCUAGAUACUCAGUAGUGGUGGCACAUUCUGAAAUUGUCAUUCUUAUACCAUCUGAAAUGGAACCUCUGAUGAUCAUUAGACACUUGUAGUUUGAAAUAUUCCAACGUGCAUGCUGAAUGUCCCAUUUGGUCCAAGCAAUGUCAUGGGCUUUCUCUCGAAUAGCUCAUGCAUCAUCUGCUUCAUUCUGAGCCCUCACGGGAUUUUCUAGUUCUUCUGGUGCUGGCAUUAUGAUGGCCAAAUCUAUAUUAGCCAUCUCCAGAGUAUUUUGUAACUUCUGAAAACCAUUUCUCAUAGUUUUGGCCAUUUAAUUCUGGAAUGACAUUCACAUAUGACAUAGCAUUGUGUCCCAAAAUUUGGAAAUUUGAGUACAAAUUCAGGAUAACAAUAAUGGCAUAUUUAAAUUUAACUUUGGUUAAAAUUCAAACAUACAAUAUUUUGUGCAUUAAGUCUAAAUCACCUUUGGGCAGAGAUAGAGAAAAUGCAUAAAUUUUUUUGGACAAGAUUAAAUAUUGCAAUAUCAACUUUGGUCAGAAAUUACAAUAUCAUAAUGUAUAAAAAAAAAUUUGAAUUGAAAACAAAAUUCUAUACGCCUCUAUGGUAAUUAUCUCAUUGGUUCAAAUUAACAUAGAGACAACAAUUAUAAUUCACACAAUUCUGUAUUCAAGUCAAAAAUUCUAUAUUCCUCUGUAUUAAUUAUCCUGUUGGUUCAAACUAACACAGAGGAAAAUUCACAAUUCUUCACAGUGGAAACAUAUAAAAUUCUAAAUUUUAGAAGCAUAAUUCUGUAAAAUUCUACUCUAAAAUAAUACACGUUGGUGAAGUUAUUUGUAGAGUAUCAAAUUCUGAACAAAUUCAUCUCAAAUUCAUAUUCUAAAGCUUCUGAAACUAAAAGUAAGAAUUCUCAUCGUCUACUGUUCAUCUGGCCCAAAACUGAAAUCCACCCGCGGCCCACGGGCGCGGCAGCGCGCCCCCGCGCCCAGGCCGCAACUUGGGCCUGGGCCGGGAAAGCGGCCCGCGCCGCGCCCCUGCCUAGGCCUCAUCUGGCCCGAUGUCGGCCGGGCGAUCUUGGCCGUCGGAUCUGAUCCGACGGUCCUGCGCUGUUUUCGGCGGAUCAAAAACCCGCCGGCGAUGACCAGCGCCCCAAACCCUAGCCAUUCUGUUCUUUCCCUCCCCCGGUUCUUGCUCUAGUGGAGGCGGCGGCGCUCGGAGGCGGACGGCGGCGCUGCCGUGGCUCCCUUGCCGGCGCGCGACGCUCGCUCGGCGAGCGCACGACCGUCGAGGUGGCCGUGGGCGGCGCCUUGCCGGUUCUUGCGGCCGGAAUCCCAUGCGCGAUGGCACAACGGCGAGCGGCAGCCGGUUUCUGUCCGCGCGCCGGUGAACGGCGGCGUCCGAGGAAGGUGGAAGGUAAGCCCCCCUCUUCUCGGGUUCUUGCUUGGCUUCGAUUCGAUUCGGGUUCUAGGGUUGGGGUUAGGGUUGUAGGGUUGGGAUUCGCGGUGUUCUUGAUCGAUUCGCGGUGUUCUUUCUUUCUUCUGUGGUUCUUUCCCCAACCGGAUCAAUGCACGAGAAUGGCGAAUGAUACCAUUGUUAGAUUCUGUAGUUCUAGGAUUGACACAAGAUCGAGUAUGUGCUCUAGAUCAGGCAUGGGGAAUACAAAAUUCUAGAUACAUCAAUGAGUGAUUCAUUCCUAGUUCUAGUACAUGAAGAGAGAGAAAUAGAGGUAUAUGAGAGGGAGGCCCAAACCAUCCACAGGAGGCGGCGCAGAGGAGCUGGAGCCGGCCUGGUGCACCAUGGCUAAAAUGGCGGCGAGGAAGUCAUGGUCGUCGAGGUACUGAUCCGGUGGUGAAGGAGGGCGUCGUGGGUACCCGCGCCCUUCUGGCCUCUAGCGGCACUGGCUGUCGACGGAGCGCGCGGAUCGGGUCGGCGAGGUCGUUGUGGUGGGGCUGUGGUGCUUCCCGUUGGCCUCGCGCUUUCUGGAUCGGUAGGGUUUCAGUAGGAGGGGUUUGUGGCGGCGGCGAACCUCGUUGUGCGAGCCCCGGCACCCAUCCCGUUCUUUAUAGCGCGGGCGACGGGGCCCACCAGCCAGACGGGCUGGGCGCCCCCGAUCAGGGCGCGGUGAGGGAGUCCGACUCGGCCUUUGGGCCGAGUCGCGAGAUCAAUCCCAACAAAUCCUAGCAUCUAGUUGGCUGUAUAAUUCAGUGCUAAGAGGCUACACUUAUUCACUUUGUGUUAUAUGCUGCCUACAUCUCACUUUUUGAAGCUUUGGACGAUCAACAAUGCUGAUCUAUGGCUUCUAUAUAUGGAUCUGAAACGAACAUGGCACCAUUUAUGCCAUUUCGAGUGAUUUUGGUGAUCGAAUGACAACACAACACUUGGACUAAUAUGAUUGUUAAGAUGACCAUUCUCAGGUUUUUAGGUUCAGGU